UACGGAGGGUGCGAGCGUUGUCCGGAAUUAUUGGGCGUAAAGAGCGCGUAGGCGGUCCGAUAAGUCGGCUGUGAAAGUCAGGGGCUCAACCCUUGAAAGCCGGCCGAUACUGUCGGACUAGAGUCCGGAAGAGGCAAGUGGAAUUCCCGGUGUAGCGGUGAAAUGCGCAGAUAUCGGGAGGAACACCAAUGGCGAAGGCAGCUUGCUGGGACGGUACUGACGCUGAGGCGCGAAAGCGUGGGGAGCAAACAGG
rnacentral:rRNA from 1 species